UGCAUCGGCCGGGAAUCGAACCCGGGCCGCCCGCUUGGCAGGUGAGCAUUCUAUCACUGAACCACCGAUGG
rnacentral:tRNA from 1 species